rnacentral:misc_RNA from 1 species
GGAAAUCUUGUCAUUGUCCCACUGCUUUCAAGGCUGUGUUUUUUCCAGGUUACAGGUGCUUCUCCUCCACAAAGUUUCGGGGACUAUGGUAAUGUUGCUUUCUCUGUAGAUCACAAAACAAAAGUAUUUCUACAUUUACCCCAGGACACUGAAGUGGGAACUCCAAUAACAAGCUUAUCACCAUCAGACCUUGAACUUAGAAAUAUGAACAAUAAGGAUGGAGUUGACUACGCAAAAUUGGGUGGUCUUUCUGAAGAAUUUGCAGUUCUAAUGGACAUAAUAAUAUCGUCGGCUGUGAAGGGUACAAUGGCUAGCAUGGGUUUACGACCU